AGAGUUUGAUCCUGGCUCAGGACGAACUCUGGCGGCGUGCCUAACACAUGCAAGUCGAACGGGACUUAAUGGAAUGCGAUUUCGGUCAAAUGAAGUUAAGUUUAGUGGCGAACGGGUGAGUAACGCGUGAGAAACCUGCCUCUCAGUGGGGGACAACAGUUGGAAACGACUGCUAAUACCGCAUAAUGUAUUCGUAGGGCAUCCUGUGGAUACCAAAGCUUUAUGUGCUGAGAGAUGGUCUCGCGUCUGAUUAGCUAGUUGGUGGGGUAACGGCCCACCAAGGCGACGAUCAGUAGCCGGUCUGAGAGGAUGAACGGCCACAUUGGGACUGAGAUACGGCCCAGACUCCUACGGGAGGCAGCAGUGGGGAAUAUUGGGCAAUGGGGGAAACCCUGACCCAGCAACGCCGCGUGAAGGAAGAAGGCCUUCGGGUUGUAAACUUCUUUUACCAGGGACGAAGGACGUGACGGUACCUGGAGAAAAAGCAACGGCUAACUACGUGCCAGCAGCCGCGGUAAUACGUAGGUUGCAAGCGUUGUCCGGAUUUACUGGGUGUAAAGGGCGUGUAGGCGGAGCUGCAAGUCAGAUGUGAAAUCCCGGGGCUCAACCCCGGAACUGCAUUUGAAACUGUAGCCCUUGAGUGUCGGAGAGGCAAGCGGAAUUCCUAGUGUAGCGGUGAAAUGCGUAGAUAUUAGGAGGAACACCAGUGGCGAAGGCGACUUGCUGAGCCAUCACUGACGCUGAGGCACGAAAGCGUGGGGAGCAAAUAGGAUUAGAUACCCUAGUAGUCCACGCCGUAAACGUUGGAUACUAAGUGUCGGAGUUAUUCGGUGCGGAAGUUAACACAUUAAGUAUCCCACCUGAGUAGUACGGUCGCAAGGUUGAAACUCAAAGGAAUUGACGGGGGCCCGCACAAGCAGUGGAUUAUGUGGUUUAAUUCGACGCAACGCGAAGAACCUUACCAGGACUUGACAUCCAACUAACGAAGUAGAGAUACAUUAGGUGCCCUUCGGGGAAAGUUGAGACAGGUGGUGCAUGGUUGUCGUCAGCUCGUGUCGUGAGAUGUUGGGUUAAGUCCCGCAACGAGCGCAACCCCUAUUGUUAGUUGCUACGCAAGAGCACUCUGGCGAGACUGCCGUUGACAAAACGGAGGAAGGCGGGGACGACGUCAAAUCAUCAUGCCCCUUAUGUCCUGGGCUACACACGUAAUACAAUGGCCGUCAACAAAGGGAAGCAAUACUGCGAAGUGGAGCAAAUCCCCAAAAACGGUCUCAGUUCGGAUUGCAGGCUGCAACUCGCCUGCAUGAAGCUGGAAUUGCUAGUAAUCGUGGAUCAGCAAGCCACGGUGAAUACGUUCCCGGGCCUUGCACACACCGCCCGUCA
rnacentral:rRNA from 1 species